UGGCUCAGGACGAACGCUGGCGGCACGCCUAACACAUGCAAGUCGAGCGGAGAUUGAGAGCUUGCUCUCAUGAUCAGCGGCGGACGGGUGAGUAACACGUGAGCAACCUGCCUUUCAGGAGGGGGACAACAGUUGGAAACGACUGCUAAUACCGCAUAACAUUGCCGAACGGCAUCGUUUGGCAAUCAAAGGAGCAAUCCGCUGAAAGAUGGGCUCGCGUCUGAUUAGAUAGUUGGUGAGGUAACGGCUCACCAAGUCGACGAUCAGUAGCCGGACUGAGAGGUUGAUCGGCCACAUUGGGACUGAGACACGGCCCAGACUCCUACGGGAGGCAGCAGUGGGGGAUAUUGGACAAUGGGGGAAACCCUGAUCCAGCGAUGCCGCGUGAGGGAAGAAGGUUUUCGGAUUGUAAACCUCUGUGGACAGGGACGAUAAUGACGGUACCUGUUUAGAAAGCCACGGCUAACUACGUG
rnacentral:rRNA from 1 species